AUCUGGAGGAACUCUGGAAUUAAUUUAAGGAAAGGAGAAGGGGUGGGGGAACCUAGAAGGAAAUUAGUAGCCAAAUAAUCAGACUUCCUGACUUUAUUAUUACCUUUGUGGCCAAGAGCCAAGAAAGAACAGACAAAACAGCCACAUCUCUUUUCUUGCAUGACCGUGCGACAAAGCCUGUUUCUAAAAGCAGAGCUCCCCAUUGGAUCUCCCAUCAAGCAGGAAGCAUGUGAGAAAGCAUGAAACCUCUGGAAUGGCGCUGAGCAGUGGAACUUCCUGCAGUAAUCGAACUGAUCUAUAUCUGCAGCAUCCAGUGUGGUGGCCACUAGCCCUGCUUAGUGCAACCUAAGCAGUGAAAUUUUAGAUUAAAACAUUUUAAACUAAUUUACACAGAAAUAGCC
ensembl:lncRNA